GCCAAUGUAGUGUAGUGGUUUAAGCAUAGGACUACAACUCUGGAGGCCAGGGGUCGAAUCCCAGCUCGGCCA
rnacentral:tRNA from 1 species